GAACUGGAAGGUUUACUAAUGGAAGGCUCGUUGCAGAUUUUAUUGUUUCAUAUGUUGGUAUCAAAGAUAACGUGCCAUCAUAUUUGGACCCAACGCUUAGCCUCCAGGAGCUGAUGACCGGAGUUAGUUUUGCCUCUGCUGGCUCCGGAUUCGACCCUCUUACAUCACAACUAAGUCAAGUCAUCCCAAUUGAAAAACUAGUCCAAUACUUCAAAGAAUAUAAAGCAAGACUUUAGCUCAGUAUAGGAAAAGAAAGAACGAAGAAUCUGAUCGGAAGAGCUAUAUACAUUGUUAGUGCUGGAACAAACGACUUCAUUAUCAAUUAUUUUGCC